AUGAAAGACGGAAAAAAAUCAUUGGCUUAUCAAAUUCUCUAUCGAGCCGUGAAAAAGAUUCAACCAAAUACAGAAACAAAUCCACUAUUGGUUUUACGUCAAGCAAUACGUAGAGUAACUCCCAAUAUAGGAGUAAAAACAAGACGUAAUAAAAAAGGAUCGACGCGGAAAGUUCCGAUUGAAAUAGGAUCUAAACAAGGAAGAGCACUUGCCAUUCGUUGGUUAUUAGAAGCAUCCCAAAAGCGUCCGGGUCGAAAUAUGGCUUUCAAAUUAAGUUCCGAAUUAGUAGAUGCUGCCAAAGGGAGUGGAGGUGACAUACGCAAAAAGGAAGCGACUCAUAGAAUGGUAGAGGCAAAUAGAGCUCUUGCACAUUUUCGUUAA
rnacentral:rRNA from 1 species